GACGAACGCUGGCGGCGUGCCUAAUACAUGCAAGUAGAACGCACAGUUUAUACCGUAGCUUGCUACACCAUAGACUGUGAGUUGCGAACGGGUGAGUAACGCGUAGGUAACCUGCCUGGUAGCGGGGGAUAACUAUUGGAAACGAUAGCUAAUACCGCAUAAUAUUGAUUAUUGCAUGAUAAUUGAUUGAAAGAUGCUAUUGCAUCACUACCAGAUGGACCUGCGUUGUAUUAGCUAGUAGGUGAGGUAACGGCUCACCUAGGCGACGAUACAUAGCCGACCUGAGAGGGUGAUCGGCCACACUGGGACUGAGACACGGCCCAGAAUCCUACGGGAGGCAGCAGUAGGGAAUCUUCGGCAAUGGACGAAAGUCUGACCGAGCAACGCCGCGUGAGUGAAGAAGGUUUUCGGAUCGUAAAGCUCUGUUGUAAGAGAAGAAAGGGUGUGAGAGUGGAAAGUUCACACUGUGACGGUAUCUUACCAGAAAGGGACGGCUAACUACGUG
rnacentral:rRNA from 1 species